GUUUGAUCCUGGCUCAGAUUGAACGCUGGCGGCAGGCCUAACACAUGCAAGUCGAGCGGUAGCACAGAGAGCUUGCUCUCGGGUGACGAGCGGCGGACGGGUGAGUAAUGUCUGGGAAGCUGCCUGAUGGAGGGGGAUAACUACUGGAAACGGUAGCUAAUACCGCAUAACGUCGCAAGACCAAAGUGGGGGACCUUCGGGCCUCAUGCCAUCAGAUGUGCCCAGAUGGGAUUAGCUAGUAGGUGGGGUAAUGGCUCACCUAGGCGACGAUCCCUAGCUGGUCUGAGAGGAUGACCAGCCACACUGGAACUGAGACACGGUCCAGACUCCUACGGGAGGCAGCAGUGGGGAAUAUUGCACAAUGGGCGCAAGCCUGAUGCAGCCAUGCCGCGUGUAUGAAGAAGGCCUUCGGGUUGUAAAGUACUUUCAGCGAGGAGGAAGGCGUUAAGGUUAAUAACCUUGGCGAUUGACGUUACUCGCAGAAGAAGCACCGGCUAACUCCGUGCCAGCAGCCGCGGUAAUACGGAGGGUGCAAGCGUUAAUCGGAAUUACUGGGCGUAAAGCGCACGCAGGCGGUCUGUCAAGUCGGAUGUGAAAUCCCCGGGCUCAACCUGGGAACUGCAUUCGAAACUGGCAGGCUAGAGUCUUGUAGAGGGGGGUAGAAUUCCAGGUGUAGCGGUGAAAUGCGUAGAGAUCUGGAGGAAUACCGGUGGCGAAGGCGGCCCCCUGGACAAAGACUGACGCUCAGGUGCGAAAGCGUGGGGAGCAAACAGGAUUAGAUACCCUGGUAGUCCACGCCGUAAACGAUGUCGACUUGGAGGUUGUGCCCUUGAGGCGUGGCUUCCGGAGCUAACGCGUUAAGUCGACCGCCUGGGGAGUACGGCCGCAAGGUUAAAACUCAAAUGAAUUGACGGGGGCCCGCACAAGCGGUGGAGCAUGUGGUUUAAUUCGAUGCAACGCGAAGAACCUUACCUACUCUUGACAUCCAGAGAACUUAGCAGAGAUGCUUUGGUGCCUUCGGGAACUCUGAGACAGGUGCUGCAUGGCUGUCGUCAGCUCGUGUUGUGAAAUGUUGGGUUAAGUCCCGCAACGAGCGCAACCCUUAUCCUUUGUUGCCAGCGAUUCGGUCGGGAACUCAAAGGAGACUGCCAGUGAUAAACUGGAGGAAGGUGGGGAUGACGUCAAGUCAUCAUGGCCCUUACGAGUAGGGCUACACACGUGCUACAAUGGCAUAUACAAAGAGAAGCGACCUCGCGAGAGCAAGCGGACCUCAUAAAGUAUGUCGUAGUCCGGAUUGGAGUCUGCAACUCGACUCCAUGAAGUCGGAAUCGCUAGUAAUCGUAGAUCAGAAUGCUACGGUGAAUACGUUCCCGGGCCUUGUACACACCGCCCGUCACACCAUGGGAGUGGGUUGCAAAAGAAGUAGGUAGCUUAACCUUCGGGAGGGCGCUUACCACUUUGUGAUUCAUGACUGGGGUGAAGUCGUAACAAGGUAGCC
rnacentral:rRNA from 1 species